rnacentral:rRNA from 1 species
AGAGGUAUCGUAAUUGAAGAGGUUUGGAAAGACCCACCACAGAAGGUAAUAGUCCUGUAUGUUAAACGAGAAGACUUUAGAUAUGAUCCAGAGUACCACGGGACACGUGAAACCCUGUGGGAAGCAGGAGGGACCACCCUCCAAGGCUAAAUACUACCUAGUGACCGAUAGCGUAUAGUACCGUGAGGGAAAGGUGAAAAGAACCCCGGGAGGGGAGUGAAAUAGAACCUGAAACCCUGCACUUACAAGCUGUGGAAGCACAUUUCUUGUGUGACCGCGUACUUUUUGUAGAACGGGCCAACGAGUUACGUUAAGUAGCAAGGUUAAGCACUUAAGGUGUGGAGCCGUAGCGAAAGCGAGUUUUAACUGAGCGUUCAGUUACUUGACGUAGACCCGAAACCGGGCGACCUACCCAUGAGCAGGAUGAAGCGAAAGUAAAAUUUCGUGGAGGUCCGAACCCACGGGCGUUGAAAAGCUCGGGGAUGACUUGUGGGUAGCGGUGAAAUUCCAAUCGAGCCCGGAGAUAGCUGGUUCUCCCCGAAAUAGCUUUAGGGCUAGCCUCAAGGUGAGAGAUACGGAGGUAGAGCACUG